CCUGAAGAGGAGCAACUUGAGGAAGGAACAGUUGAUUUGGGCUCAGUUUGAGGGGCUGCAACCCAUCUUUGUUGGGGAAGGAAUGAUGGCAGGAGUGUGAGGUGAUAGUUGAAGACAUCAUGCCCCUAGAUAUUUCAGCAUACAUUUCCUUACAAGGCUCCCUGCACUUCCUAUAGAAUAUCAUCACCAGCUUCAACUGAAUAUUACCGCAUCAUGAACGAUUUCCUUCUGAUAUGCCUCCUUCUGACUGGGCUAUUUUGAGGAUCAGCAAAUCCAGUACAA